AGGUUGUGUUGGGGAAAUUUCCUCAAGAGCUUCUUGAAACGCUCCCAUGCUUCAUAGAGAUUCUCUGCAUUUUGAGCAAAGGCCAUGAUGUUAUUUUUCAGCUU